UGACUGUGUGGCAGUAGUUCCAUGCCUGUGGCUCAAAGGGGGACUUUGCUAUUAGCCACCACACACCAUUACCAGCAGGAAGUUCUUCAACCACAACAAGUUGUUCACCGUCCCUUAUAAACUCAUCAAGCAUGCAGACAUUUACCAAAUUCUGGCGUCAGAACAUUACCAAGGAACAACUACUAGAAACUGGAUAUACAUCACGACAGUAUACAUGUGAGCAGUUAAACAAUCAAUCUGGAGAAAAAAGGACGUUGUCAGUGAUUUCUGUAGGAAACAACUGCAUCAACUGUCCAAAAUGAAGACACAGAAAGUAACAGUAUUCUCUUUCAUUGUGGGGGCUCUAUGACAUCAGCCCAUCUACUGUUCUAUUAUCUAUGGUGGCUCUUUCGUCUCUCCAAAUCUUGUUCCCCGGAAGGAACGAUGAAUGAAAUGAACGAUGAUCCACGGAUAUUCGAAUCUCGUUCACCGGAAGGAACGAUGAUCCACGGAUCUUUCGGCACUUUGGAUCACCUGAAGGAACGGUGGAAGGCGAACGACUAAUGAGGAAAUAUCUUUCAAUCUUUUUCAUCUCCGAGUAUAUCAUUUAUUAUCAUCCUUAAUGUUCCAAAGUAAGAAACGUUAGCUACAAUAAAUAUAAGGACAGUAGGCUGUUAUUCAGCUGUCAAGUGAUUAUAUUAUUGUGACAUUCAGUCAGCCGUGAAACCAACGCCAUCUUCCUCACUUCAUCAUGGACACCUGUUUUCCCUGAUCGGGGACCCUACUUAAGAUCCUGCUUCCCCAUUGCAUCCUGCCGGUCUUUGUUAUACCCCAAUGUCACGUGGUUCUGUUUUAGUUUGUUUCUUUCUUAGUCCUUUUAUAAAGUAGCCUAUUCGGUUUCGUUCCUGUCCAGUAUGUUUCAUUUAAUAUAUGUCCUCCGUUCUCCCUGCGCUUGUGUCCUACCUCCAACAUCAUGACGGUUAUGUGCAUGUCUAUUGGUAAUACUGUAACUGUCAGGACUUGAUUAAACUGAUCACAACCUGACUCAAAUGAACGAAAUGAGUCGAAAGAUUUGUUCUUUAAAGAUUUAAUUCAGUAAAGACGAACUUCCCGUCACUAUGGAUGAGCGAUUUAUAGUCUAUAUAAAUUGACACAGGCUACAGGUCUAUACAAACUCAGAGGUUGUGAUUGGUCAAUAAAUAUUUGCGAAAUGAAAUUGAGUUAAGCUUAAAAUACCGGGAAAAAGUAUACUUUAUUUAGGACUGGUCAACUAAACAGCUUUGAAAAUAACCCAACUGCAUUUCUUCCUACAAUGUAAAUUGACUAUAGUUCCCACAACUUGACUAAUGUAAAAAACUGAUAAUCAGAAACAAAAAACAGGCAACUCUUGGGCUCACCCUGACCAUUACAAGAUUAUAUAAAGGUUCCUACCAAGAACCAUUUUAUUAUCUGAAGGUGAAUUGUCGUGGAAAACCAAGUCCACAAUGACUAAAACAAAAAGCACUUGAACUCAGGAACUUGUUAAUCCAAUAGACUUUAAUGAAAAUCAUACAAGAAUGACAGACAUCAAAGCCAGGCCCUUCUGCA